rnacentral:sRNA from 1 species
UAUAGAUGAAGCCAUAAGUUCACAUCUUAAUUAGGGUGUUCACUUCAUGAAGGAAUACCUGAACCGGAUGUGACUUUUUUUCUACAUACGGCACUAACAUUUAGGAGGAACUACAAGAUGGAAACAGGAACAGUGAAAUGGUUUAACGCAGAGAAAGGCUUCGGCUUCAUUGAAGUUGAAGGCGGCAAAGAUGUAUUCGUUCACUUCAGCGCGAUCCAAGGCGACGGCUUCAAGUCCCUGGACGAAGGUCAACGCGUACAAUUCAACAUUGUACAAGGCAACCGCGGCCCGCAAGCCGAGAACGUCAUCAAGCUGUAAUCCGACGUUCAUGACGAAAGAACCGUGCCAGACGGGACGGUUCUUUUU